CCAUACACCUGGUGAUGCGCGCUCAGCCCCGCAUCCCGGCCGGGGGGGGGACAAAGCCGGGAGCGGGGAUCUGUCAGGCCGCGUCCCGGCGCCAGCCCCGGGCCGGGAGCUCAGGCGAGCGCGAUGCCAGGUUAACAAUUUGCCUCCCUCCUGGACGCCGCGGCAGCCCUCCAUUUUGUCAGCCGCCUCAAUUUAAACGUUUUCCAAGGCGAAGGCAGAACUUCAGCAUUUCUUCGGGAGCCCUCCGGGGCUUUAAAGCAUCCCCGACCAUUUUGCGCAGCCCGCCCGGAGCCAGCGCUCGGGGCUAAGUUUAGCAGGGCAGCCGCGCACGCCGCGCCUCACGGGCAGCGCCGAGCCCCCCGCGGGCAGCCCGCGGGCUCCUUCCCAUCGCUUCUCCCGGCGGCGCCUCCUCCCGCCCCACGCUCCGGCGGCGCCCGGCUUCCUCCCCGCACGGGGACAGGCAGGUGGAUGUCGGGAGGAGGGCAAGGAAGGGACGGGAGGCAGGAGCCGCCGCGGGCAGCAGGGUGCCGGCAGCAGGUAGGGAGGGCAGCGCGGGGCGGCCGCCGGUGCCGUGCGGUGCCUAUGCCGUUCCCCCUCCCUCCGGCCCCCGUUCUUACCACCUGCGGAGGCGGCCGGAGCCCGCCCGGGCCGGGGCAGCGACCUGUCCACUGCGGGCGCUCUCCUCCGGAGCCUUAGAAUCCCAGAAUGACAGAAGCGACUACAAACACCCGGGAAGAGCAGGCACAAGGAGAGGAACGAGCGAGAGAAAAGAGUUUUGCUGUGUGCCGCUGUGCGGUGCGAUGCACAACCACCUGGGUGUGAAGGCGUCACAUCCUCUGUGGUAGUGCUAUGGGAUCAUACAGCCACAGAGUGUUUCAGGGAAGGGAAAGGAACUUAAAAGUCAUCCAGUUCCAACCCCUGUCGCUGACGUGGGCAGAGCACCCUGUGGGUCAUGUGGAAUACUGGGGGCCUUUGCCCUUUAAAUAACCUUCUUAAAUAAAUUUUAAAAUCUGAAAUCACACUGUAAAAUCUGUGCAGAUCCACAGAAGUAGAUGUUAUUUUUACCUGACAUGUAUCUGUUGUGGCUAGUACCAAUCCAAACUGGCAAGGUACAUCCUUCAGGGGCUGUGUGGGUCCUGUCUGUCAUGCAUCCCUCUUCCAGACAUGAUAGAAUAUUCUGCAGUCCUCUUUCUCCCUUAGAGGCAUCAUUACUAUGGGGAACCUGCUGCCACUGCUGGGCAUGCAGGACAGCUUGCACACUAAAAUUCAAACUCCAGUCCUUCACCUCUGAUAGCUUUGAAUCCCUGUGCCAGAAACCCUUGGAAAACAUGAGAAAGAGGAUUAUUUGCAUGGUCCUUAUGUUCUUGGUGGCUGUCUCCUCCAAAGUGCCAUCAGAAAAGCACAUGGCUGUCACUCACAGUAAAAUGGUUUGGGUGUUUGCUGUUUCAGGAAAAAGGUAGCUCAGUAAAUUGUUUGGGCAGAGAGGGGGCUCUAUCCUGCCAAUAUUGACCAAGAACCACCUUGAUGAAGGCCCUCGUGCGAAGGAGUUGUGAGCUGUGUCAUGAGAACGCCUUGUUGGCACUUGUACUGAACAGUCAUGUCCUGUGUGAGGGAGUGCAGAGCAGGCAGGGAAGAGAGAAGCCCAAGCUCCACGACAGAGACAAAAGAUCAAAAGCAGUGAAGAAAUUAUGAUAAAGCAGUUAACAUUGGGAUGUUCACUGUUUUGUACGUGUCUCUUUCCAGUAGCUGAAAAGCAGUUUUGCCCUUCUGUCUCAAUAAAGCAGUGGCCCCAAAGAUGCCUUUCUCAAACCCCCAAAGUGCUCACAGCAUUAAAAAUCUGCACAAUUAACUGCUGGUUAACGGAGCUAGAAGUGACCCAUUUUGAUGAAGGGGAUCAGAGAGUGUGCCAGAGAAACUGGAGGUGACGGCCAGUGCCCCAGCUCUUUCAUUCCAGAAAAUUGCAGGAACAAACAGUUCCAGCAUGGUUAUGCUCACAAAGAGAAGUGGGGAGCAGUGGAGAGAGGUGCGUGGUGAGGAGGAAAGACAUUUCAAUUCUCUCUUCCCUUUUCUCAUCUCAGCUUAGUAACACCUUACGUAACAGGUUUGGGUUUUGUUUAAAUUGUGAGACUGAAAAUUUCCUGACUGUAAAACUGUAACAAUAAGAAGUAUUUGUGAUCUUUUGAAAAUAUAUUCUUUUUAGCUAAAAAAAGAUAUAUGCAGAAAAGUCUGUACUAGAACAGCAAAUUAAAGCUUUUUCAGUAUAAAGUCAGGAUAUUUCUUUUCCUAGUGUAAUAAAAGAUGUGACAAAAACAGUGGUAUAACAAUUAAUUCCUGCACAUUGAAAUUAUUACUAAGAAUA